rnacentral:rRNA from 1 species
AUACGGAGGGUCCAAGCGUUAUCCGGAAUCAUUGGGUUUAAAGGGUUCGUAGGCGGGUCAAUAAGUCAGAGGUGAAAUCUUGCAGCUUAACUGUAAAAUUGCCUUUGAUACUGUUGACCUUGAAUUACUGUGAAGUGGUUAGAAUAUGUAGUGUAGCGGUGAAAUGCUUAGAGAUUACAUAGAAUACCGAUUGCGAAGGCAGAUCACUAACAGUAUAUUGACGCUGAUGAACGAAAGCGUGGGCAGCGAACGGGAUUAGAUACCCUAGUAGUCC